rnacentral:lncRNA from 1 species
GGAAUUUAUAGUCAAGAAGCAGAGUGGUGGGUGGCAGUUAGUUGAUGAAAAAUUACUAAGGGGAAACGUCAGGGUUAAUAGGAAUUUUUCGCAAACUGACCUAACAGAAUUCUUGCUAAACGCAGGCCAGGGUGAUCAGACAUCACCUGGGAGAUGGUGGAAGACGAGGAAGCCAAUCAAAUGUCAAGCGAUCAGAGUAGAGGAUUCCGGUUAAACUGACUUAGUAGAAUUCUUGCUAAAAUUGGACAGUGCAGAGAUAAACACAGAAGCUCAAAAGUCUGAGUCUAGCCAAUGACUGAAUAGAAAUCGUACUGAAACAUUUAGAUCAAGUGAGCCUUCCAUCCUCCAUAUGAAAUCUGUGUGUGGAUUGGAGAAUAAAUGCACAUCUCAGGCUACUACUUUCCGUUGGUUCCUCUUGAAUUUCCCUGCAUGUGCACAUGGUGUCCAGCCAGGGGUAAGUGAUGGCUAGGGCACUUUCUUACCUCUUCUGUGCAUGCACAGAGCCUUGCAAAUGAACUCUGCUUUCUAAACCUGUCAGGAUAUGGGAAUGCUUAUCAAAACUCCCUGUGUCUAUCCCAUCACUUAGCUCUUCCUGUUAAAUAUCUAGCUACUCUGUCAUUCCAUUGCUUCCCCCAAUCAGAACUGCAACCUCAAGUUAGCCAUGCAGUUGGCCUUUCCUGUUUGUUACUGAGAUUGCUACUGUUUAUGACCACGUGCCUGAAUGUUUUUCUGCUUUCUGCUCCAAACCUAGUUAGCUGGCAGCAACGCUUGACUUGCCCUGCCAUUAUAGAACUACUGUGGUGACGAAUUUGGUCACCAAUUUGGCAGUGUCAGCAGAGAAGCUUCCUCCAAGAAAGCUACAGACUGUCACUGUUUUUUGCCGAAGGUUUAGUAGUUUUUCUUGAAUAAGUGCUUCUAGAUUUUUCCAAGGCUUUGAUUGAUUUCCGAAGUCUUGAAAUGGUUGUUUGCAAAUUGUAUUGUUGCUUUUUGGAGAAAGGAUUGGCAAGUUCUUUUCUUUAUGCUAAUCACAUUUGGUUUCUUUAGUCUUGUAGAGAAUGGCUAUACGAAAAGUUUUUUUAGUUUGAGCGUCAACUGUUAGCAGCCCAGAGAACAGACAGAAGUUUGAAAUUUCGUCCUUCCUUUUUUCCCUGCCAACAAGUCUCUAGAAAUGGAAGGAGGGAAAUACUCAGAUAAGGUAUCCCACGCUUAUGUAUUAUUUGUUUCUUACACUGUUCUGUAAGUUCCACCUUCUCCACUAGGAUUUUGAAGUGAAUUUCUGGAAUAAAAUUCUCACUAGACACAUCUUCUUUACAGCUAUAAGCAGCAGACAAAUUUCAGAAUUUCAUCAUAUGCUUUUUGGAUUAGCUAUUUACACAAGCAUUCAUGGGGUGGCUGAAGUACAUUUAAUCUAAAUGUCAUGUAGCAAUCAACAGUUUUACUGCCUAAAUAAUUCCUUUAUAGCUCUUUUCUUAUUCUUCUCCAAUGGCAUUUUUAACUUGUGUCUUAUCUUAAUGUUAACUAUGUGUCUAUCUUUUCAGGUUUUGAGCUCCUUGAGGCUCUGUGUCUUAUUGCCCCUGCAUCCCUUGCAUAGUUCCUUGAAUAUAAAAAGAUGCUCAAUAAAUAUCUAUUGGAAAUAUGAAAAAUAUCAAAGGCAGGAAUAGGCUCUCUCUGGCAUUUCCUUAUCUGACAAAGGAAACUUCUUUUUAAAAGAAAGGCAAUUGUCUUAAGACCCCCUCCCUAGGAAUAUCAUCAAAUAACUAGAAAAGAUUAACCACUGGAGAAGAGAAGAGACGAAAAGCUAUCACCAUGCUGAGAGAGACUUUUCAAUCACUCUUCUGAGGGCAGCUUCAAGAGAUCAUCUGAGAGACUUUAUCUACAUAAUAAGAAAACCUUUGUUCACAGUAUAGCUCUGCCCCUCACCUUCCCAUAACUUGCUGUCCCAUUCAGUUUCCUAAAAGAAUAAUUUACAAGAUAACAUCUACCUCUUGGAUUUAUUCAAUUCCACUAAAAAUCAUUUAGAACCCCUCAAAUUGUCUAUAUUUUCCCUUCUCCUUUUCUCUUAUGAAGAGGGUAUAUAAGCCUCAUCUACUGUGUAUUCUUUGAGUUUCAUAUUUUAUAUGGCUUCCAUGCUUAUGCACAUUAACAAAUGUCUAUGAAUUUUCUCCUAUUGUUUCUUGUCAGUCAUUGCAGUGAACCUUCAGAGAGCAGCAGAGGGAGGGGCAUUUUCCUUCUACCCUACAGUUC